GAUCGCGGCGACGUGGGCGGUUCGCUGCCCGCGACGUCACGAGAAGCUCCACUGAACCUUAUCAUUUAGAGGAAGGAGAAGUCGUAACAAGGUUUCCGUAGGUGAACCUGCGGAAGGAUCAUU
rnacentral:rRNA from 1 species